rnacentral:rRNA from 1 species
GACGUAGGGUGCGAGCGUUAAUCGGAAUUACUGGGCGUAAAGCGUGCGCAGGCGGCUUUGUAAGACAGGUGUGAAAUCCCCGGGCUUAACCUGGGAACUGCACUUGUGACUGCAAGGCUAGAGUGUGUCAGAGGGAGGUGGAAUUCCGCGUGUAGCAGUGAAAUGCGUAGAUAUGCGGAGGAACACCGAUGGCGAAGGCAGCCUCCUGGGAUAACACUGACGCUCAUGCACGGAAGCGUGGGGAUCAAACAGGAUUAGAUACCCUGGUAGUCCACGCCGUAAACGAUGAUUACUCGCUGUUGGCGAUACACUGUCAGCGGCUAAGCAAAAGCAAUAAGUAAUCCACCUGGGGAGUACGGCCGCAAGGUUGAA